AGAACCCCAGGAUGGGUCAGGCUGGAGGGGCCCACAGGGGCUCCUCUGGUGCCACCUCCCUGCUCCAGCAGGGCCAUCCCAGAGCCCAGGGCACAGCAGUGUGUCCAUGUGGCUCUGCAAUAUCCCCAGGGAGGAGACUGCACAGCCUCCCUGCACAAUCUGUUCAGGGCUGGGCACUGCCCAGGGCACAAGUUCUGACUCCUGUGCAGGGCAGGGCCUGGGCUCAGCCCCUGCCGUGGCUCUGGUGCCAUUGCUGGGCCUGGAGCAGAGCCUGGGCCUGCUCUGCCCCUCCUGUACCCAGGGACAGUCAGGGGUGGACAGGGAUAGACAGGGACACACAGGGACAGCCAGGGACAGCCAGGGACAGCCAGGGACAGACACAGGGACAGCCAGGGACAGCCAGGGACAGACACAGGGACACACAGGGACAGCCAGGGACAGCCAGGAACACACAGGGACAGCCAGGGACAGACACAGGGACAGCCAGGGACAGCCAGGGACAGACACAGGGACACACAGGGACACACAGGGACACACAGGGACAGACACAGGGACACACAGGGACAGACACAGGGACAGACACAGGGACAGCCAGGGACAGCCAGGGACAGCCAGGGACAGACACAGGGACAGACACAGGGAGCGACAGGGACACACAGGGACAGACAGGGACAGACAGGGACAGACAGAGGGACAGACACAGGGACAGACACAGGGACAGACAGGGACACCCAGGGACACACACAGGGACAGACACAGGGAGCGACAAGGACAGACACAGGGACACCCAGGGACACCCAGGGCUGCGGGCCCCUCUCAGCUGGGGCUCCUCUCCAGGCUGAGCAGCCCCAGCUCCCUCAGCCUCCCCUGGGCACCGAGAUGCUCCAGGCCCUUCCUCAGCUCCAGGAGCUCCUGUCCCUGCUCUGCUGAGGAUCCGGAGCUGGACACAGCACUCCAGAGGUGCCUCCAGGGCUGGCCACAGGGGCAGGAUCCUUCCCUGACCUGCUGGAAAGGCUCUUCCCCAUGGCCCCUUGGCCCCAGGACACUGCUGGCUCAGGGACAGCUCCGUGUCCC
rnacentral:lncRNA from 1 species